AGGGCUCUGAGUAUUCUCUGUACAGGUCUUUGAAGGCCAAGAUGACCUCCCCAUGGCAGCUGCUCUGGCUCCUGGUGCUCUGGGCUCAGGAUUCCCAAGGAGCCAUUGUGCUGACCCAGUCUCCAGCCUCCUUGUCCGGAUCUCCAGGAGAGAGAGUCACCAUCAGCUGCAAGGCCAGUGAGAGUGUAUAUAGUUACUUGCACUGGUACCAGCAGAAACCCGGCCAGGCCCCCAGGCUCCUCAUCUAUGUUGCUUCCAACCUGGCAUCCGGGGUCCCUGCCCGGUUCAGUGGCAGUGGGUCUGGGAGUGAUUAUACCCUCACCAUCAGCAGCCUGGAGCCUGAGGAUGCUGCACAUUAUUACUGUCAGCAGUCUGGGAGCUCCCCUCUCCCACAGUGCUUCAGGCCUGAUCAAAAACCUCCCCAGGCUGUUCAGUGGACUCAAUUCAUAGCAGCAGGUGCUUCCUUCGGGGUCCCCAAGGCAGAGCAGCCCCGGCUCUCUGGGCAGGCUCUCACCUCCCAGGGCUUUCCCUUUCUGGUCCCUCAGGUCCUCCCCUUUCUAACUCAGCCUUGUCAGUCACAAACCCAUCUGCACAGCCAAGGUUUCGCCUUGGCUGGUUGA